rnacentral:lncRNA from 1 species
UCCUGCUCACAUCUGGGCGCAGGUGUCAUCUGAUCAGUAUUCACACUGCCCAGAAGUUAGAGAAGAGGCAGGUGGUGCUUGCUCUCCUUGUUCAGAGCAUCACUUGGUGUGUCCCUGGUAGCCUGGUACCCAGAGUACCCGUCAUACGGGUCCUCAGAGCAUCCACUCCAUCAAGCCUUCACAUUUCCCUCUGCGACUUGACAGAGGCUUCGAGGUUCACACUUGCCAGUUUUAUCCCUCGUUUAACUAGCAAUUCCAAGACCACAGAAGGAGGGGAUUUUUACUGAAGUUUAGCAUCCCAAUAAAACAUCAGAAAGUGGCAUUAUAUCAUCAACUCUAAGCUAGAAUAUCAGGUCAAACAAUUUUUAUGUUUAAAGUUUUAGUGUAACAUUCAGAUAUUUCGAACCUACUGAAAAUAUCUACUUAACAAAACCUGCAUUGUUUAAAAAAG